UCUAAACUACUGCAAACCCAAACCUAAACCAGUAACCUCGAUAGAAACCAUUCCUCCUCAACAAACCCCAUUCCAGAAGGCUCCAAAGAAGAACCCUCCUCAUUUACAACUUCUCUCACCGUCUCCUCCAACUCCUCUCCGAGAAAUUCUGAACCAUCAGACCUCUAAAAGCCCCAAACCAUAACCUUCAAAAUCAGAAACUCCCCAAUGUUGGUGAAGAAGGAACCAUCCUUCAAAAGUUCAUAAAUUUAAGGUUAGCCAACAUUUUUCACUAUUUUAAACUUUUUUAUGGUUUUUAUUCGAUUUUUGUGUUGAAAUGUUUAGUUUUUUUGUGUAUUGUAACAUGUGUUUUUGUGUUUUUAAGUGACUUAAAUAUAUAAUUUGAAAUGUUUAUUUUCCUAAAAUCAAGUUGUGAUGAUUAAAUUUUUAGGGUAAUACAUUUCUUAAAAUAAAAAAUACUGCUGAUUUGUUAAAUUGGGAGCACCUUUUCAUUCAUUAAGCUCUUUAAAAGUAGCAAGGAUAUGUCAUGGAGUGAAUUGAGUUUAAGUUGUUAGUCUUUCUAAUCAAUUAGCAGAACAAGGUUUGAUGGCAAAUUUUGUGAGAGGAAAAUAGAUUACUGGGACAACAUUUGUGUGUUUACCAUUAGGAAAUAGUUUUUUAAUUCCAUUCUUAAAUAAAUUUGACACAAGAUCAUUUCUUUCACUUUUCAGAGUGGUCUCUCAUGGUCUUCUAACAUAAAAACACCUUUUGAAACGUCUAGUUGCGUACUCAAAUGCUUUGCAAGUAACGCUGAAUUUUGAAGUUUGAACUACACAUGCUAGCUAGCCAUAUUUUCUUUUACAUAGAGAAGUGAGUAUUUAGAAAAUAGGAAUCUGUUUUCUAUAGCUGAAGGAAAUUCUGGUCAUUAACUAAAAAUUAAGCCUUUGCAACCCAGUAUCUGAUUCUUUAGUCAAUUAUGGCACCAAUGAUAUAA
rnacentral:lncRNA from 1 species